CGGUUUUAAACAUAUCUUUUGAUCCGUAAGUCGGAAUCAAGUGAAACGAAAGAGAGACAGAAGCUUAUAAAGUCUAGUUUGAUAUAACAUAAUAAUAUGAUGGAGUCGAGAAUGUGAAUAAUUGUUGUUAAAUGUGCACAAUGUGAUUAUAUGUUAUUUGAUUGCUAUUAAUUGAUGAUUACGUGAUAUACAUGUUUAUUCAUGAUAGUAUACACGUGUGAUAAAAGAUUUGGAUGGCAUAGUGUCGUGAGUUGAUUGAUAUUGGAUAAGAAUAUAUGGAUUAUAGUAAUUGGAUCUUGUUGG
rnacentral:lncRNA from 1 species